UACAGAGGGUGCGAGCGUUAAUCGGAAUUACUGGGCGUAAAGCGUGCGUAGACGGUUAUGUAAGUCGGGUGUGAAAGCCCCGGGCUCAACCUGGGAAUUGCAUUCGAUACUGGAUAGCUAGGGUACGGAAGAGGGAAGCGGAAUUUCAGGUGUAGCGGUGAAAUGCGUAGAUAUCUGAAGGAACACCAGUGGCGAAAGCGGCUUCCUGGUCCAGUACCGACGUUCAGGCACGAAAGCGUGGGGAGCAAACAGG
rnacentral:rRNA from 1 species